UGUCUCUGCGCUGGGUAGAAUUAGCAUGAAGAUAGUGGUGCUCAUCUCAUAGAAACCAGAAAAUGCAAUUCCUUCUCUAUAUCAGCUUGGCUUUUGCUUUGUGCCCAUGCCUGACUCAUGCCCUGGACAUAGAU